rnacentral:rRNA from 1 species
GACGAACGCUGGCGGCGUGCUUAACACAUGCAAGCCGAACGGUGAAGCAGGAGCUUGCUCUUGUGGAUCAGUGGCGAACGGGUGAGUAACACGUGAGUAACCUGCCCCGAACUCUGGGAUAAGCGUUGGAAACGACGUCUAAUACUGGAUAUGUUGCGCGAAGGCAUCUUCUGCGCAUGGAAAGAAUUUCGGUUCGGGAUGGACUCGCGGCCUAUCAGCUUGUUGGUGAGGUAAUGGCUCACCAAGGCGACGACGGGUAGCCGGCCUGAGAGGGUGACCGGCCACACUGGGACUGAGACACGGCCCAGACUCCUACGGGAGGCAGCAGUGGGGAAUAUUGCACAAUGGGCGCAAGCCUGAUGCAGCAACGCCGCGUGAGGGACGACGGCCUUCGGGUUGUAAACCUCUUUUAGUAGGGAAGAAGCGAAAGUGACGGUACCUGCAGAAAAAGCACCGGCUAACUACGUGCCAGCCGCCGCCGU